CCUACGGGGGGCAGCAGUGGGGAAUUUUCCGCAAUGGGCGAAAGCCUGACGGAGCAAUACCGCGUGAAGGAAGACGGCCUAUGGGUUGUAAACUUCUUUUUUCAGGGAGGAACUCAAUGACGUGUACCUGAAGAAUAAGCAUCGGCUAACUCCGUGCCAGCAGCCGCGGUAAGACGGAGGAUGCAAGUGUUAUCCGGAAUCACUGGGCGUAAAGCGUCUGUAGGUGGUUUAGUAAGUCGACUGUUAAAUCUUGAGGCUUAACCUCAAAAUCGCAUUCGAAACUAUUAGACUUGAGUAUAGUAGAGGUAAAGGGAAUUUCCAGUGGAGCGGUGAAAUGCGUAGAUAUUGGAAAGAACACCGAUGGCGAAGGCACUUUACUGGGCUAUUACUGACACUCAGAGACGAAAGCUAGGGUAGCAAAUGGGAUUAGAUACCCGAGUAGUC
rnacentral:rRNA from 1 species